UUCGGUGGCCAUAGCGGAGGGGUCACACCUCUUCCCAUCUCGAACAGAGAAGUUAAGCCCUCCAGCGCCGAUGGUACUGCCCGGGCCACCGGGUGGGAGAGUAGGACGCCACCGGAA
rnacentral:rRNA from 1 species